rnacentral:rRNA from 1 species
CCUACGGGUGGCAGCAGUGAGGAAUAUUGGUCAAUGGGCGCGAGCCUGAACCAGCCAAGUAGCGUGAAGGAUGACUGCCCUACGGGUUGUAAACUUCUUUUAUAAAGGAAUAAAGUGAGCUACGUGUGCCUUUAUGCCUGUACUUUAUGAAUAAGGAUCGGCUAACUCCGUGCCAGCAGCCGCGGUAAUACGGAGGAUCCGAGCGUUAUCCGGAUUUAUUGGGUUUAAAGGGAGCGUAGAUGGGUUGUUAAGUCAGUUGUUAAAGUUUGGGGCUCAACCGUAAAAUUGCAAUUGAUACUGGCAGCCUUGAGUACAGUUGAGGUAGGCGGAAUACGUGGUGUAGCGGUGAAAUGCUUAGAUAUCACGAAGAACUCCGAUUGCGAAGGCAGCUUACUAAACUGCCACUGACAUUGAUGCUCGAAAGUGUGGGUAUCAAACAGGAUUAGAUACCCUUGUAGUC